rnacentral:rRNA from 1 species
GACGAACGCUGGCGGCGUGCCUAACACAUGCAAGUCGAGCGGGGAGUAGAAUUCGUUUUUCUCUUUAGCGGCGGACGGGUGAGUAACACGUGGGUAACCUGCCUCAAAGAGGGGGAUAGCCUUCCGAAAGGAAGAUUAAUACCGCAUAAUAUCAGGAAGCUGCAUGGCAUUCUGAUUAAAGGAGCAAUCCGCGAUGAGAUGGACCCGCGGCGCAUUAGCUAGUUGGUGAGGUUACGGCCCACCAAGGCGACGGUGCGUAGCCGACCUGAGAGGGUGAUCGGCCACAUAGGAACUGAGCCACAGUCCAGACUCCUACGGGAGGCAGCAGUGGGGAAUAUUGCACAAUGGGGGAAACCCUGAUGCAGCAACGCCGCGUGAGUGAUGAAGGCCUUCGGGUCGUAAAGCUCUUUGAUCAGGGACGAUAAUGACGGUACCUGAAAAACAAGCCACGGCUAACUACGUGCCAGCCGCCGCGGUAAGAC